rnacentral:rRNA from 1 species
CCUACGGGCGGCAGCAGUGAGGAAUAUUGGUCAAUGGGCGAGAGCCUGAACCAGCCAAGUCGCGUGAGGGAGUACUGCCCUAUGGGUUGUAAACCUCUUUUGCCGGGGAGCAAAAGCCGGACGUUUCCGGCUGUGAGAGUUCCCGAAGAAAAAGCAUCGGCUAACUUCGUGCCAGCAGCCGCGGUUAUACGGAGGAUGCGAGCGUUUUCCGGAUUUAUUGGGUUUUAAGGGUGCGCAGGCGGAUUGUUAAGUCAGCGGUAAAAUCGUGGGGCUCAACCCCGUCCAGCCGUUGAAACUGGGGGUCUUGAGUGUGCGAGAGGUAUGCGGAAUGCGUGGUGUAGCGGUGAAAUGCAUAGAUAUCGCGCAGAACCCCGAUUGCGAAGGCAGCAUACCGGUGCACAACUGACGCUGAGGCACGAAAGCGUGGGUAUCGAACAGGAUUAGAUACCCGAGUAGUC